rnacentral:lncRNA from 1 species
AUGAAGAAUUAUGUUCCUCUUAAGGCAAUAAGAAAAGAACGGAAGAAGAAUGAAGACUCAGAUACUCACAAAAGACUACCGCUUGCUUUCUUCCUGCUUCAUUCUGAAUAUUGUCCAAAGAUCAUGAUUGAAUCCCAGGGCUUGUCCACUGGGAAUGUAGCAAGGAAAUUGGGUGAGAUGUGGUCUGAGCAGACAGCCCAAGAUAGACCACCAUGUGAAGAGAAGGCAGCUGAACUAAAGGAAGUAUGAGCUAGGGGAUAUUGCAUACCUUGAGUGUGCAGAGGUGAUGAAAGAUAGAAGGGCCCUGGUGGGCCAGGAGGCUCAAAGAAGAAUGAAUAG